GAUUUUUUCUUGCAGAGUUUUUGCAAGCCUACAACACCGACUGGAUUUUUAAGGGACACAGCCCACCUCGUUGGCCCACACUGACCAAUGUCUGUGUGCAAUGAGAUCCUGACCAAUGUUGUUGACCCUGACAUUGUUAAAAAGGCUAAAGAACAGAAUCUCAAACACCACAGUGACCGAUCAGGUGCGUGCAUGGGCAAUAUGGACAUAUGCUAUGGAGAUUUAAACUAGCACCACAUAUCCUUCCUUGGCUACUGGAAGCAGCAGAGCUGUAGUAGCAUCAAGGCAAGCAUAUGCUGUUCCAUAAUUCUGCUUACAAGCCUAAUGGAGUUCUACUAAUAUGAUUCUAGAGCUUUGCAUAUGCUGAGUAGGUUGGUUUUGUUCACACACAUCUAAGCUGUGUUCAGUCAUGGAUCUAUCCUGGGAUAUAACCUGCAUUCACAUAUUGCAAAACAUCAGCAGCAUCACCAAAUGAGUCUCAGGAAUGUCCUGCAUAUUUGUCAGUGUUAGUAAUAUAUAACCACAGCAUCCUGCAUUUAUGAGAUCUGCAUAGAUUCUUCUAGCUUCCAACUGGGCAAGGCUGGAGCUGUGCAAGGAGUCAAAGAUAACUCUGUAGCUUCUACCACUGCAGAAAGUUGCUGGCUUUUGAAAGCCAGGUGAUGGCAAAGGAGGACUUAGAGGUAUAAGAGUGACCAUACUUUUCCAUUCUCCCUACUUUGUAGCUGGACUUAUGUGGAAGGAUGGCUGACCCAGGGAGGUCAUGUUUAUCUCUAAGAGGGGAGCAAGUGUCUCCUA
rnacentral:lncRNA from 1 species